CUUUACAGUUUUAAAACAACAAAGGCACGGUAGCCGCUGGCGCUUUCCAUUGACCACAAAGGAUACAAUAUUUUGUAAACAUGGUGGAUACAUCACAUUGAUUAAGUGGAGCAGCCAUACAUUUCUGUUCUUCUAUAUGUGAAGUCCAAGUCCAGGAAUCUACUAGCUCAUCACCUGAAACUUAUCAAAACGGCAAAACUUAAAGGGACCAUAUUUAAGGUCUCUCAUGGAUUGCCUAAUCUUGUUGAGGAGAGCUGCUUGUGUAUGGUGGACUGCUUGUUCAUUGCUCCCGACCGAGGAGAAAACAGUAAAUUGUCCCAGAAAUGAUAUGUAAAUUGUGUUUUUCAUGCACUCAAAAUAACACUAUCAAGAGAUGUACAAAGAUGUGGACUAUAUUUAUAUUGAAAAGGAAUGAGACUCCAAUAGGCAUAUUUUAACAUAUAAUUGAUAAUAUACUCGUGUUUGAUCUCAAAUUGUAAAUUUUCAAUUAUAUUAAAUGGGCUAUAUAUGUUGACCAGAUAAGUUUAUUAAUACUGAAAAUUAAAGUAUAUUUAAUAAACAUUUUAAAGGUUA